GACAGAGGGUGCAAACGUUGUUCGGAAUUACUGGGCGUAAAGCGAGUGUAGGCGGUCCGAUAAGUCGGGUGUGAAAGCCCUGGGCUCAACCCAGGAAGUGCACUCGAAACUGCUGGGCUAGAGUAUCGGAGAGGUUGGUGGAAUUCUCGGUGUAGAGGUGAAAUUCGUAGAUAUCGAGAGGAACACCGGUGGCGAAGGCGGCCAACUGGACGAAUACUGACGCUGAGACUCGAAAGCGUGGGGAGCAAACAGG
rnacentral:rRNA from 1 species